AUUGAACGUUGGCGGCAGGCCUAACACAUGCAAGUCGAGCGGAGCGGCGGACGGGUGAGUAAUGCCUAGGAAUCUGCCUGGUAGUGGUGGAUAACGUCCUGAACCGGGCGCUAAUACCGCAUACUAUCAGAUGAGCCUCGGUCGGAUUAGUUAGUUGGUGUGGUAAAGGCUUACCAAGUCGACGAUCCGUAACUGGUCUGAGAGUUUGAUCAGUCACACUGGAACUGAGAAACGGUCCAGACUCCUACGGGAGGCAACAGUGGUGAAUAUUGGACAAUGGGCGAAAACCUGGUCCAGCCAUGCCGCGUGUGUGAAGAAGGUCUUCGGGUUGGAAAGCACUUUUAGUUGGGAGGCGUUACCAACAGAAUAAGCACCGGCUAACUUCGUGCCAGCCUCCGCGGUAAUUC
rnacentral:rRNA from 1 species